CCAUGUCCAACCCUGCACUGAGACCAGCCCCACAGGGCGGGGGCCACCAGAAAGAUCUGAACGGCCUCCUUGGCUUCAGCCAUAGAAAUUUUCUUGCCUCUGGUGGAUCCUGAGGGAUACCUGCCAGCUCGCAGGGAACUCUCCUUCCUGAGAACUGCCAAAGGGAGGGGACCCAGCAAGAGUGUGCAUACAGUGUAUCUCCGCUCCCUGGACACAGCGACGGGACCAGGCAUGGGCAGCUGGCCUGCAGUGGGCCAUUCAGAUGUAUUUCUCACAAGAAUUUGGUGCCGGGGCCAGGAGACACGGGGUCUAUUUCUGUGAGGGCUGGCCCAGGUAACCACGGCCCCCACGUGAGCAGAAAAUCUGAGAAACCACACCCGUGUGCAUGGACAGAGACACAGAGAUGAGAGGGGAAGGAAGGAGCGGGCCGCUGCCCUCCGGCUCCCAGCUCCAGGCCUGUGCUGCCCUGGCUUCCGCGAGGCCUCAUCUCGUCUGUGCCAGCCAGGGCUCUUGGGUGCCUGCAACAGGCCCCACUCUAGCAAGGUUAGCUGACACAGGCAGCCAUCAGGCGACAUUCACGGAGUCUCCAGAAGGGCCAGAGUCAAGCUCAGCCCACAAAGCCAGGAACAGUGUGCAGAUUACCCUGCAAGAAUACACACAGAAGACCACUGCCGUCCACGCCGCCAGGGCCGGGCCACGGGCGCUCCGGCCAGGACCUUCCUCCCACUGUCCUGAGAGCUUGGUCUGUGCCCCAGCGGCGGGAGCCUGCCACUCCGCCCUCCUGGCUUCUACCUUGGGAGGCAGGACAACUGCCCAAGGGGUUCGAAGGGAUCUCAGAGCGUGACCAACAUCGGUGGCAGCACUGUAGUGACGCCUUUCUUUCUACACCCCUUGCUGGCUGCUGCAAGGCCUUCUGAUGCUCAGCACCCUGGUCCCGACCACUGGACCACUGGAGCCGUGGGCAAGUCUGGCUUCCUGCCUGGGUCAGGACAAGCAAGUGCUCAGGACGCACAGUUUAAGGAGGCACUCAGUCUCCCGCUUGUGGAGCGAGAGGGCCUCCUUCAGUUGGGGUCCCGGGGGCCUCCUGGCCUCACCCCAGCCCGGGCCCUGCUCCUGAGGGAUGUGCUUUCCGGACGCCUCUCAGGCCUUAAGCAAACACGGAGGGGAGGCUCACCUCCACUGGUGUUCCUGGCACAUUUCAACAUAUUUGAAUCCACUUGGAAUCCACUGGAAUGCCUGACACAUUUGUUUGGUUGACUGACUAAUUAAUAAUGAUAACAGGAAGCACUUGCCGCACGCUGACCUUGUGCCAAGCACACUUCUCUGUCCUGUUUCCCGGCUCCUUCCACGGGAGGCCAGCUAGCAUUGUGCUUAGGAGCCAGGAGGCCCAGAUGGAACUCCAGUCCAGCCGCUGUGCGACCAUGUUAAUAACAUCUCCUUCUGAGGUGAAAAUGGCAUUAUGCACGACAGAGCCUAAGCAGAGCCUGCCUUGAAAUCAGCAAAUCCCAUUUCCAGUUUCCCCUGGGUGCACAGACGGACUAUCUCCCAGCAUCCCUCGCAGUAAGGUGUGACCACGUGACUGAGCUCUGGCCAGUGAAAGGGACAAGAGGUGUCCUCACUUCCAGACGGCGCCCAGAGAGCCUCACGGGGAGCUCAGCCCCUCCCAGCCUGCCAGUCGGGUGGAGUGGAGCUGGCUUCCUCCUCUGUAAAAGAGAGGUGAUGGGAUCAGGUGCCUACUGCAGCGGGAUGCCUGGAGGAGUGAAGCACGGAAAGCUUAGAAGGGUGCGCGGCACCUGGUGAACACCAUGACGUGUAAGCUAUUGCUAUUACUCUCUCCACCUCAGCGAGGAGUCAGGCGUAGGCCCUCCCACCUCCACCCCACCCAGCCUUUCCCUCAGACCCAGCACCUCCGCAAGAUGAGGGAUGUGAGUGUUUGUGGCCGGCUUGGCUUCACAGGAAAGGCAACGCAAGCGGACGGCGGUUAGGAGCUCAGGCAGACAGACCCGGGCCCAAACUCUUGUGGCCCUGAGCCAAUUAACCUUGUCUUCUUUAAAAAGGAGAUGAUAGACCCUACCUACUAAGAUGGUGAGAACUGCUGAAGAUGAGUCUCUAAAUGAGUGGUUCUUGAAGAGUCGUCCCCAGUGUCAGCAGCAGCAGCAUCACCUGGGAGCUUGUUAGAAAGGCAACAAUUCUGGGGCUCCACUCUAGAUCCGCUGACUCAGACACUCGGGUGCGCCCAGCAAUCUGUUUUAAC
rnacentral:lncRNA from 1 species